rnacentral:rRNA from 1 species
UUUAAUGGAGAGUUUGAUCCUGGCUCAGGACGAACGCUGGCGGCGUGCCUAAUACAUGCAAGUCGAGCGAGGGUCUUCGGACCCUAGCGGCGGACGGGUGAGUAACACGUAGGCAACCUGCC